GGUCCUGUGGGCACAGCAGCGCAUGAAGCAAGGGCACCUCCAGGGCAGGCAGAGGGGUCCAACCACAGGAUGCUCAAGAAGUCCCCACCCCAAGAGAUCCACAGGACUAGGAUGCAUCCAGAAACCACAUUGCCCAAGUCUUCACCACCUAAUGACUAAGCCCCAUGCCUAGCCUUGCUGUGGUUGUCACAGGGAACUAGAGGGUUGGAUCACAUGGGGAAGGUUGACAGGAAGCAGGGUGUGUGUGUGCCGUGCCUACAGAUUAAUGCCUGAGUUCCUCAUAAUUAGUUCUUUUUCUUUUUUUGAAAGUCUAUAGACCUGGUAUUCCCAGGUAGUCUCCCAUUCAAGCACUACCCAGGCUCGACCUUGCUUAACUUCCAAUAUCAGAUGAGAUGGGGCAUGUUCAUGGUGGUAGACUCACAAUUAGAUCUUUGUUCCUUUGGUUUAAAGCUUGGGCCCCCUCUGGGCCCUCCUGCUGCUCAGUAAGUUCCUUGCAUUCUCAGUCAACCUCUGCUGGUCCCACUCUUGGGCUGUAUUUAUUGAGUGCUUACUAGUACUAGCUACCAUGCUGAGUGCUUCAUACGCCUCUCAUUUAAUCCUCACCUUUCUAAAUUUAUGCACUGAAUCCUAGUCUCUUAAUUUUAUGCAGAAGGAGAAACCAAGGUUUAGAGAAACCAGAGCAUUUGCCCAAAGGCAAAUAGCUAAUAAGUAUAUGGCUGAAUGAGAGCUCUACCCCAGGUCUUUCUAACACCAAAGCCCAUACUCGUAGGCACGACACCCACAUAGAUCACUUGACCCACAGGAGAAACAGAGGCCAUCAGAUGUGCAACUCCCAAACACCUCACAUUCUCAAAGCACCAUAAGUCAGGCUCUGUGAUUCUCAUCUAAGAUUCACAACACAGAGACUUAGGAAAGUUAUCUCACUUGGCCCAAGACAACUCGGUUUGAAGUCUGGCUCUCCAGCUGGGGCACAGGCCCAACUUCCCUUCCUCUCUCUCCACAAAGCUCUAACUUGCUGCCAAUGGCAAAGGCAUACUCUUCUUGCUUCUUCCAAGAGGACUUCUUCAACUCACACUCUCCAGUCCUUCUCAAACAUACCAAUCUCUCUCUUAGGAAACUGAACGCUUCAAUCUCACCUCUUCACUGACUCCUUCCAUCACACACACACCUCACUUAACCUGGAACUUCUUUCCACCCUUCCUAAAGCUUAACAACCUGCUUCUUUUCCUUUGUUUCAAAAUAUUUAAAUGUAGCACAAAGGAAAAUGAAUAAACAUUUAUUGAGCCUACCAUAAGCAAGACAAUACAAAUGUUAUUAAAUUCUCACAUCCAUGCACAUAAAAUUAUCCCCAUUUUACAGACAAGGACACUGAGGUUCAGAGCCAUUAUAUAACUUGCAGAGGUCUCAACCAAUAAACAGCCAGGAGUUACCUAACUCUUAAAGCUUGUGCUGCACCCACUCCACCCUCUUCAUGGACACUGCUCUCCCAAAGGCUGUUCAUGUCCUAAGCGGGCCCCUUCUCUGUCCUUGCUCAUUUGGUCCUCAGCACCUCUGCUGUUCACUUCUUCAAUGCUCCCCUCCAAGGUCCCCUCCUGUCUCUCUGACCCCUUUUACUGUAUCUCUUGCAGGCACGUAUGCACCUGAGAACAGCACUUAGUCUUUUCAAUUGACACUGUCCCUAGCAAUCUCAUUCUCCAUCUCUCAUUUUCAGACCCAUACUAGAUUGGGUAUUUCAUAGGCACUUCAAAUUCAGCAGCUCCCCCCAUAUCUCCCAGCUGCUCCAAGUUUGGGGCUCUCUGCAUUAUCCUCUGGGGUGAGGCACCACCACAGCCUCUCUGAUUGGUGAAUGGCCACAGGGCCUCCUGGGCUUGUCAACCUUCUGUAGGCAGAAUCCCAAAAGGGGAAGAGGAAGUACCUAAAGCAGCUUCUUUCUCCAGAGGUGUGGAGAGAUGGAACUCAGUGAUAGGCCUCUACAGGCCUGUCAGUAGUACCAGAGCACUUGUACUAAAAGUUAAGCAUCCAAUAAAAUUUAGCUCUCCUGGGACUAGAUUUCUACUUUAUAUGAUUACUAGAGGCCUGAUGCACAAAAUUUGUGCAAGAGUAGGCCUUCCUUCCACUGGCUGCUGGCACCGGCUUCCCUCUGGCACCCAGGACCCAGGCUUUCCUCGCAGCCCCGGCUUCAUGCGGAAGGACAUCUGGUCUAAUUAGCAUAUUAUGCUUUUAAUAUUAUAGAUUCUAUUUAAUAUAUGGUGCUUAGUUUAUUUCUUCUGGCCCCAAGGUUGUUUUUAAGAAUAAUUUCUCAAAUGAAAUUCUUAUUUUCUCCAGCCCUGUUCUUCCUGCUUAAUCCUUACCAAUGGUGCCAUCAUCCCCUCUCGCCUCACUUAUUCCUUACCCUUAAUUCCACACACACACAUCUGUCAAUUUUACUUCUGGGUGACUAUCCUACUAUUUUAAACUUUCAUUUUUUUAACAGCAGAAACAUUUUUUUCAAUAAAAAUCUUAUACAGAACCUCGAUGUAUAAAAGAGAGGCUGCUGUACAUGUAAAUAGAGGAAAGAGCAUACCAUUCCAUCCUCCCUUACCCCCAUGUUUGUCCCAAGGCACCUCUGAGAAAACCUAGGUAGUCUGAAAGAGCUGGAACACUACGUUCUCUCACCUGCCACCUCCAGUGCCCUGCCUGAGCUCAAUUCCCACCUAGAUCCCUAUAGUCGCCUCCUGACUGCUCUCCCUGCUCACCUCCCACACCUCUGACCCGGCCUUGAGAAUCCAGGGCUGCUCACACUUUCCUAUCACAUGGCUCAGACAGCAGAGCAGUGGUCUCAGAGGGAGUUAGGAGAAGAUGACUCAAGCCCAGAUUUUAUUUUAAUUACUUGCCACUAUCACUUUUAGUAUCCUGAGGCUUCAGGUACUAUCCUAUUCCUAAGGAUACAACACAGUCUGAGAGGUACUACGCUACACUCUCACCAGGGCUUUUCCAAGGCGUCAUCUGAUCAGAUCAUUCCUCGGCUCCCCAGUACUUACAAAAUAAAAAUCCAAAUUUUAGCAGUCAAGGAAUUUACACAGAGGGCUCUACUUCCAAACUGGGACAUGUGGUUCCAGAGAAACAGAGGAAGCCACAGGACAAUAUGGUAUGUCUUACUUAAGGUCAGUAAUUUUAAAAUAUUAAGUUUAUAUUAAUUAGAGAAGCAACACGGUAUUAAAAUGUAAUACCCGCAUGAAUUUAUAAGGCAAAACACAUGAAAUGUUGAGUGCAGUGGGGCAUUUCCAGCUUUAUUCUCAGAUCUUUCUCACCUCAAGUACCAAGUUACUGCCCUUCGUAAUUAGGUAUGCUUUGGUAGAAAACGCCCAUUUUUCAGAUGAGGAAGCUGAGGCUCAGAAAGGUUAAAUAAUCCGCCCACAGUCACACAACUAGUAAGUGGUUAAGCUGGACUUUUACCCCAGGUAGUCUGCCUUCAGUCAUGCUCCUAACAACUAUGCCUAUUGCCUCCUCGAAUGCAUUAGAAUGUCCUUCACUUCCACUAAGUAUGCUUUCUCUGUUUUCUUCAUCAGAAACACAAGGCUCUCAUAGUCCAUCACUCACUUAUCCACCUUUGAUAGACAUGGAUAUUCAGAACUAUUUCUUCAGUAUAAGAAAAGUAAAGUGUAUGUGCGAUGGUAAAUGUCGACUGAACUCGCUGCCUGACAGGGAGUGACGCUAAGGAUGCCAUACCCCUUCUAAGAGACAGUGGCAUCUCAGCUGGAGUCCACUGAAUGCCUUGCAAAACCAGUCCAGUGCUACCAAACAAUCCAAAUUUCCAAAAGAAGCUGAAGAUGUGCAACCUGUUGAUCUUAAAAUUGCCUGCACAACUUUGGAUCUUAUUACACUUCUGGGUGAGAAUCUGAAGUAACUCAUGUGAGAAAGAGGUACAGAAAAGGGGGCUGAAAGAGAAGCAGAUCCUAUGUCUCCCUUGGAACAAAAACACAUUUGUGGGCCGGGGAGAGAUGCAAGGCAACUGAUCAUCUGAUCAUAAUGUGUUCACUUGGACCAGUGGAAACCCUCCCCCCCCAGAUGCAAUCAAUUCUUCUCAUUCUCCACAUCUAAGGGACAUCACAGAAUUGAAGAUUCAAGAACAAAAGGAAAAAAGGACAAGAGCAGAGAAAGAGAAAGAAUGGAAAGAGGAAAUGAUUGCCCUGACUGGUUUUCUCAGUGGUUAGAGCGUCGGAGGGUUCGAGGGUUCCAUUCCCCAUUUGGGCCAAGUUGCCCGCUCAGUCCCCAGCAGGGAGCAUGAGAAAGAUGGAAACAUCAUGUACCUGGGAUGCAGGCUCCCUGCGGACCUUGGUCAGGGUACAGGCGCUGGUUGGGGUGCAUUCAAGAGACAACCGAUUGAUGUGAUCAAUGUUUCUUUCUCUCUCCCUUCUAUUCCCUCUAAAAAACCACUGGAAAAAUAUUCUCAGGUGAGGAUUUAAAAAAAAGGGAAUGGUAGCAGCUAAUAGCUAAUAUUUAUUGAGUGCUUGUUAUGAGCCAAAUACCAUGACAAACAUUUAAUCCUCACAACCAUCUUAGAGGUUCUUAUCCCCAUUUUAUAAAGAAACUGAGGUUCAAAGAGAUUAAAUGGCAGAGGCAGGUGACCCCAAAGUCUGCGCUUUCAAAUACUUCAAAACACUUCCUUCCAGCAAGAAUGAUGGUGCCACAGGCAUUUCUUUCAUUCAGAUUCACUGGUGUGUUUUGUAUGUUCACUUCUUUCCUUUUUUUUAAUUGAAUUUACUGGGGGGACAUUGGUUAAUAAAAUCAUAGAGGUUU